CUCAAUAGCCGGAGCUCUCCGGAACAAAGAAAGUCACCCGGUUCAGGGUA
ncrna:unclassified sequences RAGATH-25 RNA